GGGUUGUGAGGUUAAGCGACUAAGCGUACACGGUGGAUGCCCUGGCAGUCAGAGGCGAUGAAGGACGUGCUAAUCUGCGAUAAGCGUCGGUAAGGUGAUAUGAACCGUUAUAACCGGCGAUUUCCGAAUGGGGAAACCCAGUGUGAUUCGUCACACUAUCAUUAACUGAAUCCAUAGGUUAAUGAGGCGAACCGGGGGAACUGAAACAUCUAAGUACCCCGAGGAAAAGAAAUCAACCGAGAUUCCCCCAGUAGCGGCGAGCGAACGGGGAGCAGCCCAGAGCCUGAAUCAGUGUGUGUGUUAGUGGAAGCGUCUGGAAAGGCGCGCGAUACAGGGUGACAGCCCCGUACACAAAAAUGCACAUACUGUGAGCUCGAUGAGUAGGGCGGGACACGUGGUAUCCUGUCUGAAUAUGGGGGACCAUCCUCCAAGGCUAAAUACUCCUGACUGACCGAUAGUGAACCAGUACCGUGAGGGAAAGGCGAAAAGAACCCCGGCGAGGGGAGUGAAAAAGAACCUGAAACCGUGUACGUACAAGCAGUGGGAGCACAGAGCAAUCUGUGUGACUGCGUACCUUUUGUAUAAUGGGUCAGCGACUUAUAUUCUGUAGCAAGGUUAACCGAAUAGGGGAGCCGAAGGGAAACCGAGUCUUAACUGGGCGUUAAGUUGCAGGGUAUAGACCCGAAACCCGGUGAUCUAGCCAUGGGCAGGUUGAAGGUUGGGUAACACUAACUGGAGGACCGAACCGACUAAUGUUGAAAAAUUAGCGGAUGACUUGUGGCUGGGGGUGAAAGGCCAAUCAAACCGGGAGAUAGCUGGUUCUCCCCGAAAGCUAUUUAGGUAGCGCCUCGUGAAUUCAUCUCCGGGGGUAGAGCACUGUUUCGGCAAGGGGGUCAUCCCGACUUACCAACCCGAUGCAAACUGCGAAUACCGGAGAAUGUUAUCACGGGAGACACACGGCGGGUGCUAACGUCCGUCGUGAAGAGGGAAACAACCCAGACCGCCAGCUAAGGUCCCAAAGUCAUGGUUAAGUGGGAAACGAUGUGGGAAGGCCCAGACAGCCAGGAUGUUGGCUUAGAAGCAGCCAUCAUUUAAAGAAAGCGUAAUAGCUCACUGGUCGAGUCGGCCUGCGCGGAAGAUGUAACGGGGCUAAACCAUGCACCGAAGCUGCGGCAGCGACGCUGAUGCGUUGUUGGGUAGGGGAGCGUUCUGUAAGCCUGUGAAGGUGUGCUGUGAGGCAUGCUGGAGGUAUCAGAAGUGCGAAUGCUGACAUAAGUAACGAUAAAGCGGGUGAAAAGCCCGCUCGCCGGAAGACCAAGGGUUCCUGUCCAACGUUAAUCGGGGCAGGGUGAGUCGACCCCUAAGGCGAGGCCGAAAGGCGUAGUCGAUGGGAAACAGGUUAAUAUUCCUGUACUUGGUGUUACUGCGAAGGGGGGACGGAGAAGGCUAUGUUGGCCGGGCGACGGUUGUCCCGGUUUAAGCGUGUAGGCUGGUUUUCCAGGCAAAUCCGGAAAAUCAAGGCUGAGGCGUGAUGACGAGGCACUACGGUGCUGAAGCAACAAAUGCCCUGCUUCCAGGAAAAGCCUCUAAGCAUCAGGUAACAUCAAAUCGUACCCCAAACCGACACAGGUGGUCAGGUAGAGAAUACCAAGGCGCUUGAGAGAACUCGGGUGAAGGAACUAGGCAAAAUGGUGCCGUAACUUCGGGAGAAGGCACGCUGAUAUGUAGGUGAAGUCCCUCGCGGAUGGAGCUGAAAUCAGUCGAAGAUACCAGCUGGCUGCAACUGUUUAUUAAAAACACAGCACUGUGCAAACACGAAAGUGGACGUAUACGGUGUGACGCCUGCCCGGUGCCGGAAGGUUAAUUGAUGGGGUUAGCGCAAGCGAAGCUCUUGAUCGAAGCCCCGGUAAACGGCGGCCGUAACUAUAACGGUCCUAAGGUAGCGAAAUUCCUUGUCGGGUAAGUUCCGACCUGCACGAAUGGCGUAAUGAUGGCCAGGCUGUCUCCACCCGAGACUCAGUGAAAUUGAACUCGCUGUGAAGAUGCAGUGUACCCGCGGCAAGACGGAAAGACCCCGUGAACCUUUACUAUAGCUUGACACUGAACAUUGAGCCUUGAUGUGUAGGAUAGGUGGGAGGCUUUGAAGUGUGGACGCCAGUCUGCAUGGAGCCGACCUUGAAAUACCACCCUUUAAUGUUUGAUGUUCUAACGUUGACCCGUGAUCCGGGUUGCGGACAGUGUCUGGUGGGUAGUUUGACUGGGGCGGUCUCCUCCUAAAGAGUAACGGAGGAGCACGAAGGUUGGCUAAUCCUGGUCGGACAUCAGGAGGUUAGUGCAAUGGCAUAAGCCAGCUUGACUGCGAGCGUGACGGCGCGAGCAGGUGCGAAAGCAGGUCAUAGUGAUCCGGUGGUUCUGAAUGGAAGGGCCAUCGCUCAACGGAUAAAAGGUACUCCGGGGAUAACAGGCUGAUACCGCCCAAGAGUUCAUAUCGACGGCGGUGUUUGGCACCUCGAUGUCGGCUCAUCACAUCCUGGGGCUGAAGUAGGUCCCAAGGGUAUGGCUGUUCGCCAUUUAAAGUGGUACGCGAGCUGGGUUUAGAACGUCGUGAGACAGUUCGGUCCCUAUCUGCCGUGGGCGCUGGAGAACUGAGGGGGGCUGCUCCUAGUACGAGAGGACCGGAGUGGACGCAUCACUGGUGUUCGGGUUGUCAUGCCAAUGGCACUGCCCGGUAGCUAAAUGCGGAAGAGAUAAGUGCUGAAAGCAUCUAAGCACGAAACUUGCCCCGAGAUGAGUUCUCCCUGACUCCUUGAGAGUCCUGAAGGAACGUUGAAGACGACGACGUUGAUAGGCCGGGUGUGUAAGCGCAGCGAUGCGUUGAGCUAACCGGUACUAAUGAACCGUGAGGCUUAACCUUACAACGCCGAAGGUGUUU
rnacentral:rRNA from 1 species